GCCAGGCGUGUUGGCGCGUGCCUGUAGUCCCAGCUACUUGGGAGGCUGAGGCUGGAGGAUCGCUUGAGCCCAGGAGUUCUGGGCUGUAGUGCACUAUGCCGAUCAUGUGUCCGCACUAAGUUCAGCAUCAAUAUGGUGACCUCCCAGGAGCGGGGGAACACCAGGUUGCCUAAGAAGGGGUGAACCAGCCCAGGCUGGAAACAGAGCAGGUCAAAACUCCCAUGCUGAUCAGCAGUGGGAUCGCACCUGUGAAUAGCCACUGCACUCCAGCCUGAACAUAGCGAGACCCCGUGUCUA
ensembl:misc_RNA Metazoa_SRP Metazoan signal recognition particle RNA